rnacentral:lncRNA from 10 species
GCUACUCAGGAAGCUGAGGUGGGAGAAUGGCGUGAACCUGGGAGGCGGAGCUUGCAGUGAGCCGAGAUCGCGCCACUGUGCUCCAGCCUGGGCAACAGAGCGAGACUGUGUCUCAAAAAAAAAAAAAAAGGUUUUGAGAUUUAGAUUAAAGGACAUCUAUGCUCAUUAAAGAAUACAUUCAUCACCAAAUUAAAAAAAAGAAAGAGAGAGAGAAAGAAUAAAACCAUUUAGGUAACAGCACAUCAACAUAACCACUAAUGAAGUGUGGUUAUAUCUUCUUACAAUCUAUUUUCUCCGCAUCGAACAGUUUAUGCAAAACAGAUAAAUAACUUUGCCAGAAAGAGGAUAACUAUAAAUUUGAUAGGCACACACCUCCCAAAUAAUGUAGGAAGACUAUUACCAUGCAGACUUACUAAGUUUGACUUAUAUAAUAAAAUAAUACAACAGAAAACCUCCAGCUAGCCUUCUAGAUAGAGAAGAGUCACAGGGUUGCAAGCUGAUGCUACCAAUAUAUACAACAUUGAUUUAUAUUAUAGGAGAAAGGGGAUUUAUUGCUUCACUGACAUUGAUUCUAGUGAUAGCUUCAAAGAAAAAUGAAGAGAAUAUAGUGUCCUUAUAGUACAAUCACUCCUAGUCAGUCAGCCCUAAUUCAUAUUGACUGGAGUCACUGAGGCCAUUUAUUAGGUUUCUAUACUUAUUGUUUGAAGAACAGUUUUAAUAAAAGAACAGUUUUAUUAAAACUCAGGUAAAUGGCAAAGAUUUACAUAAAGUUUUAAGAGAUACAAAUAUGAAGAAAACACAGAUUUGAAAUUCAUAAUUAAUAAUAUAAGAAUUGGUAACUGGUUGUAAUUUUUACCAUGUUUAGCUUUAAAAAGAAGUGGAAAGGCUACUUUCCAGAUUAAAAAAAGAUUGCUAGCAAAAUAUUUAUCCAGUCUUACGUUGCCAUCUCACUUGACCUCUCAACAGAGAAGACUUGCUCAAGUUUAAUCAUUAAUGGCUUGUGGUUUUAAUAAUAAUAAUAGUAACACUCUAAUAAUGGUAAUAUGAACAAUGAUAACUGUAAUUUAUCAAUUUCUUCCUAUGUUCUCUCCUUUGUGGCACUUCAUUUUUCCACCAAACCAUGUGAAUUAAAUACUGUUUUAACAUUUUAACGAAAAAUUCCAGUGGCAAGUCCCAGGCAACAUCUACUCUUGAAGAACUGGCCGUGCAUGUGCCCAGAUGGACAGAAGCAGUUUCUGGAAAGAGUAGCUAAGCACCCUGAAAGAUUUUUCCAUGAGGUCCUCUUUUCCUUGGAUCAUAAACCAAAGAUAAUCCAGAGAUUUGCAUGAAAACAGCGUAUGUACAGGCUGGCUGUAGACCUGACAAUAUGAGACAAUCUUCACCAUCUCCAAUUCUGUGAACUCUAUUUACCUCUGGAAUUUCUUCACUGAGACCAAGUCUUGGUU